UUCCAGUGUGCUCCUGGGUUCUCACUGGUGGGUGCAGCGACUGCCACUUGUAACAACUCUGGUCUCUGGGAUCCUGACCCGGCUCUAUUGGAAUGUUUUUCCUGUGUCCUGCCUGUCCCUCCACUCAAUGGAGUGUUACUCAACACCAGCUCUCAGAACAUUAACCUAAUGGAGGGCUCAGUCAUUACCUUCCAAUGUGAUUCUGGGUUCUCACUGGUGGGUGCAGCGACUGCCACUUGUAUAGCAACUCUGGUCUCUGAGAUCCUGACCCUGCUCUAUUGGAGUGUUUUCAAUCACCCACUCUAUUUACCGGAGAGAUUCUUUCUAUCAGUGUGGUUGUCACUGCAGUUGCUUUCUUAGUCAUUGGAUUCCUCGCUGGACUCCUAGGAUGCACCUUUGCUCUCGUAAGAAGGCAGUGUACUUCCCAGCAACUAAA